rnacentral:lncRNA from 10 species
AGGCGACCUGGAGUUUGUGACGCUGUGAUGGUCUAGAGGCUGGAGAUUCAAGAUCUGGGUGCCAUCAUUUUCUGGUUCUGUUGAUGACCCUCUUCCAGCAAUUCCCUUGACUGAAGACGUUCUCAUAACAUUAGGAAAAGAAGAGUUCCAAAAGCUGAGACAAGAUCUUGAAAUGGUACUGUCCACUAAGGAGUCAAAGAAUGAAAAGUUAAAGGAAGACUUAGAAAGAAUCUUUAAUGAACUGAAAACUAAAAUGCUUAAUAUAAAAGAAUAUAAGGA